CCUACGGGAGGCAGCAGUGGGGAAUAUUGCGCAAUGGGCGAAAGCCUGACGCAGCGACGCCGCGUGAGGGAUGAAGGUCUUCGGAUCGUAAACCUCUGUCAGCAGGGCAGAACGGUCACUGUGCUAAUCAGCAGUGAAUUGACGGUACCUGCAAAGGAAGCACCGGCUAACUCCGUGCCAGCCGCCGCGGUAAUACGGAGGGUGCGAGCGUUAAUCGGAAUUACUGGGCGUAAAGCGCUCGUAGGCGGUAUGUCAAGUCAAGUGUGAAAUCCCCGCGCUCAACGUGGGAACUGCCUUUGAAACUGGCAAACUGGAGUGUGUGAGAGGAUAGUGGAAUUCCAGGUGUAGGAGUGAAAUCCGUAGAUAUCUGGAGGAACAUCAGUGGCGAAGGCGACUAUCUGGCACAUAACUGACGCUGAGGAGCGAAAGCGUGGGUAGCAAACAGGAUUAGAUACCCCUGUAGUC
rnacentral:rRNA from 1 species